rnacentral:rRNA from 1 species
CCUACGGGGUGCAGCAGUGAGGAAUAUUGGUCAAUGGCCGCAGGGCUGAACCAGCCAAGUCGCGUGAGGGAUGACGGUCCUAUGGAUUGUAAACCUCUUUUGUCAGGGAGCAAAGGGCGCCACGUGUGGCGCUUUGCGAGUACCUGAAGAAAAAGCAUCGGCUAACUCCGUGCCAGCAGCCGCGGUAAUACGGAGGAUGCGAGCGUUAUCCGGAUUUAUUGGGUUUAAAGGGUGCGCAGGCGGAAUGUCAAGUCAGCGGUAAAAUUUCGGGGCUCAACCCCGUCGUGCCGUUGAAACUGGCGUUCUUGAGUGAGCGAGAAGUAUGCGGAAUGCGUGGUGUAGCGGUGAAAUGCAUAGAUAUUAGGAGGAACACCAGUGGCGAAGGCGGUCUGCUGGACAGCAACUGACGGUGAGGCGCGAAAGCGUGGGGAGCAAACAGGAUUAGAUACCCCAGUAGUC